UACAGAGGUCUCAAGCGUUGUUCGGAUUCAUUGGGCGUAAAGGGUGCGUAGGCGGCGCGGUAAGUCGGGUGUGAAAUCUUGGAGCUUAACUCCGAAACUGCAUUCGAUACUGCCGUGCUUGAGGACUGGAGAGGAGACUGGAAUUUACGGUGUAGCGGUGAAAUGCGUAGAUAUCGUAAGGAAGACCAGUGGCGAAGGCGGGUCUCUGGACGAGUU
rnacentral:rRNA from 1 species